rnacentral:rRNA from 1 species
UGGGGAAUAUUGGACAAUGGGCGCAAGCCUGAUCCAGCAAUGCCGCGUGUGUGAAGAAGGCCUUCGGGUUGUAAAGCACUUUUAUCAGGAGCGAAACGCUGUCGGCUAAUACCCGGCGGAACUGACGGUACCUGAGGAAUAAGCACCGGCUAACUUCGUGCCAGCAGCCGCGGUAAUACGAAGGGUGCAAGCGUUAAUCGGAAUUACUGGGCGUAAAGCGUGCGUAGGCGGUUUCUUAAGUCUGCUGUGAAAUCCCCGGGCUCAACCUGGGAAUGGCAGUGGAUACUGGGAGACUAGAGUGUGUCAGAGGGUGGUGGAAUUCCCGGUGUAGCGGUGAAAUGCGUAGAGAUCGGGAGGAACAUCAGUGGCGAAGGCGGCCACCUGGGACAACACUGACGCUGAGGCACGAAAAGCGUGGGGAGCAAACAGGAUUAGAUACCCUGGUAGUCCACGCCCUAAAACGAUGCGAACUGGAUGUUGGUCUCAACUCGGAGAUCAGUGUCGAAGCUAACGCGUUAAGUUCGCCGCCUGGGGAGUACGGUCGCAAGACUGAAACUC